GGGGCAACCGCCCCCCUGCCUCGGGGGAGACGGCAGAUAAACAUCAUGGGAAAAGCAGGAAGCAGCAGCAGCAAACCCAACUGCUUGAAGUUUCGCGUCUCAGCAAGAAUACUGGCCUGACCCCAGACCCUGCAAAGGGAAUUCAGCCUGCUACAGAAAUGAACACGUUUGUAUUACCAACUUCCACCAUUUCAAGCUCUAACCAAGCAGACCAGGACCUCUCUGACCAGAUCAAUGACAGCCUGCGAUGGGAUGGAGUUUUGGAGGAUCCUGCUGCCGAGGAAGAAAGGCUGCACAUCUAUAAGCUGAACAGAAGGAAACGUUACGAGCUGUAUAUCCAACAGCACCUGCCCAAAGAACCACAUCUGACUCUCGAGCAUCCCCCUUCACCGCAGCGCACAGGUCCGAACGCAGAUGAGCAAACAGGAAGGAUGGAGGAUUCCUCCAGCUCCUAUAUUCAGGGAGGCAAAGGUGACACGUUCCUGAUAACUGAGCAAAUUACCAGUAUCUGAGCUGUAAUCUGCAGCCACCCCAGUAUUUCUCAGGAAACUGUAAAUCGUCACGGUGUGUUUCUGUGAGCGCUGUACAAGGGACCUUUGUUCAAGGCACUGUUUGAUUAAUUUCCCAUGCCUGCAGAUUGCUUGGUUUUCUUGAUGUACAUGUGCCAUAUUCAAAUUAACCGUUUAAUAAAAGUUACUUGAAAGAUG